GACAGAGGUCCCGAGCGUUAGGCGGAAUCACUGGGCUUAAAGCGUGUGUAGGCGGAUCGUUAAGUGCCUUGUGAAAUCCCAUGGCUUAACCAUGGAACUGCUUGGCAUACUGGCGGUCUUGAGCCACUUAGGGGCAACCGGAACAAAUGGUGGAGCGGUGAAAUGCGUAGAUAUCAUUGGAACGCCAAUGGUGAAAACAGGUUGCUGGGAGUGAUGCUGACGCUGAGACACGGAAAGCCAGGGGAGCGAACGGG
rnacentral:rRNA from 1 species